rnacentral:sRNA from 1 species
UCCCGCAACGCCCGCGAGGGUCGGCUCCCGGGGCGCUGACAACCGCCUCGUGGCCCUCGGCCGGCCUCCGAAGAGGGCAGUGAGGGGCCCCCACCUGGGCGCCCGAUGCCCAGAGCACUCUGCGCCCCCAGCCUGCCCCAGCCCAGUCCCUCCCGGCCGCGCGCCCUGACCGUAUAUGGGAGUCCACAUUUAUAGGAAAGGGGCCAAGAUUAUAGUACCAGUCACAAUCUUUUGAUGAGGACGAAAUGAAUCAGCAUGAACUUGCUGUGCAUAAAAAGAAAAUUGAAGAAGUCGAAACCUGGUUAAAAGCUCAAGUUUUAGAAAGGCAACCAAAACAGGGUGGAUCUAUUUUAUUAAUAACAGGUCCUCCUGGAUGUGGAAAGACAACGACCUUAAAAAUACUAUCAAAGGAGCAUGGUAUUCAAGUACAAGAGUGGAUUAAUCCAGUUUUACCAGACUUCCAA